rnacentral:lncRNA from 1 species
UGAUCAUGACACUUAUAUUCAAUUGGAUUAAAGUUUACACACGUAGAAACAACGGUUAGAAGUCUAGCGCAAAAAUAUGGGGUGUUACAAUAUUGAAUACACAUAGCAUUCUAUUAUAACACCACAAAAUAGUUAAAACCCAAGUAUGUAUUCGAUAAAAAUGACCAAUCACUAAAGGAAGAUUUAUGUUCACUAGAAGCACUAAAACUACACCAUUCAGUACACCCAAUUAUAAUUUACAAAAUCAAAAUACAAGUCCUAUGCCCCUU